rnacentral:rRNA from 1 species
AUUGAACGCUGGCGGCAGGCCUAACACAUGCAAGUCGAACGAGUGGCGGACGGGUGAGUAAUGUCUGGGAAACUGCCUGAUGGAGGGGGCUAACUACUGGAAACGGUAGCUAAUACCGCAUACCAUCGGAUGUGCCCAGAUGGGUUUAGCUUGUGGGUGGGGUAACGGCUCCCCAAGGCGACGAUCCCUAGCUGGUCUGAGAGGAUGACCAGCCCCACUGGGAAUGAGGAACGGUCCAUAACUCUACGGGAGGCAGGAGGUGGGAAUAAUGCACAAUGGGCGCAAGCCUGAUUCAACCAUGCCGGGUGUAUGAAGGAGGCCUUCGGGUUGUAAAAUACUUUCAGCGGGGAAGCGUUAACCGCCGAAGAAGCACCGGCUAACUCCGGGCCAGCAGCCGCGGUAAUUC